rnacentral:misc_RNA from 1 species
AAGUCGUAACAAGGUUUCCGUAGGUGAACCUGCGGAAGGAUCAUUAAUGAUUGAUGGAUCCCACCCCGCCUUUGCUCCUGUGCGCUCCCAACCGGGGCAAACUGGCAGCUAGGUUGGGUGGGAAAACCCAACAAAAACCAUCUCGUGCAUUCGUUAGCCGUGGCUGGCGUGAUUCUCUCCCUGCCCUUGGUGGGCGAGAGUGGCCGGCGCCCCCUCCCCUUCUGCGGGUUGCGGGGCACGAUUUUCAACUCCGAUUAAAAAUUUUUCUGUCUGCUUGUUUUUCUCCUUAGCCAAUCAUAAUCUUUUGUUUUGGUGCCGGGAGAAAUUCAAGUGCAGCGGUAAAUGAAUAAAUUAUACACAACUUUUGGCAACGGAUCUCUAGGCUCUGAC